GCGCCCGGGGCGAGCAUCUCUGCGCCCCGCGGAGCCGGCGCCGUCUCCCUCGGGCCUCUGCUCUCCGGGGCGCUGACCCGAUGGGGCUGAAGGGAAAAGACCGGAGGAGGCUGGGGAGGGCCGUGCGGGUCUUUUGUGUGCCCCGCUUGGCGGCGGCCGGGGCGCGGAGAUCCCCGGCGAGGCACCUGCCGGGCGCCCGCAGAGAGGGGGUGGGGGGUGGGGGAGAAGCUAGGGUGGGAAAGAGCAGGGACGCUUAGGCUGGGCUUCCUCCACCCCUCCCCCCGCCCCCCGGGUCGAGAGAACCUAGGUCACUGGGAGAAAGCAGGCACUUAGGAGGAGUAGCAGGAUUAAAAUGUCUUGGUGGCAGAGAUGUGAAUCCCAAGGGAAGAAGUUCGAGAGGCUUAAUUGCGAGAGAGGGAGGCAGAGAAGCAGAUGGGAGGUGGUGGGGUUUUAGUUUUAUGGUCCAAAGAGAGUCUUGAGUUUGGGGAAAGUUUGAAUGCAAAUAAGGUACCGACUAGAAGCUGUGUCAUGGUAUCUGGAAGACUUGUCUAUCAGCGUCAGUAUCUGUAUACAGACAGGGGAGAGGGGACGACAGCAUUUUGUUCGGAAAAACGGAGACUACCUCUUGAAUCGUUUGGGGUGGUUUGUAUUUGUUCUUCUUCGCUUCAUUAAGCUUUAUUUUGAUAAGAUUUUUGUCACUGUGAAAUUUCCUUUGGAAAGUUUGCAGAUGAUUGUGGAACUGCCGAGCUGCUUUUGGGUACUAAUUAUCUUGGCAAAGUGGUGGUCACUAAAUAUUCUUAAAACCUUUCUUGUACCAAAACAUCCACUUGAGUUCUUCAUUGGUAGCAUUCCUUCAAAUAAAGUAAUUUGGCCCCCAUCCCCCCCCCCAAAAAAAAACACCUUGUAAGAUUAAUACUGAGGCAAAGUAUAUAAUAGAUUAGAAAACUCAUGUUUAGAAAAUGCAGGACGUGCCUAGCAGCCCACAAUUCGCUUUUUUUCCCCCUUGGGCAACAAGAUGUUAUUAGCCUUCCAUGAUGUUAAUUCUUCAACAGACAUUUAUUGGGUGCCUCCUGUGUUUUGUGUGAAGCCUUGGGGUGUGCUGAUGAAUACAGCAAAAUCACUGUGCUUUUGGUGCUUACACUGUAGGGGAGAUGGUAAUAUAAGUAAAUGAGAGAAAUGUCAGGGGUAAGUAUGCUAAAAUGUAUGUGAUAGGAGAGACCUUGUUUGAAACGUUACUAUUUAUUUUUAAUUUUUGUUUUUAAAAAAAAAUUUUAAUGUUUGUUUAUUUUGAGAGAGAGACAGAGAGACAGAGUGUGAGCAGGGGAGGGGCAGUGAGAGAGAGAGAGGGAGGUCCAGAAUCUGAGAACCCGUGUAUCGUAAGAUCUUGAACUGAGCUGAAGUCAGAUGCUUAACCAACUGAGCCACCGAGGUUCCCCGGAAGGUUACUCUCAGAUUGUAGUCAGAGAAGCACUCUAAGAAGUUGGUAAACAGUAAUAUUAUUGAAUUACACAGAACUGUAGAGCUGGGUGAUAUCUAGAAGAAAGUCUGGUUCACACUUCGAGUUUACAGAUACAGUUAAGUGACCUGUAUUGGGCAACUUUGGUUCUAAAAUGAAGGCCAACAGUCUGGUGAUUUAAAUGUAUUUGGUUUCUCUUAUGUGCAUAAUGGUGACACGGUAUAUUUGGAAGAAUAUGAAUUUUGAAAUCAGAAUCCGACACUGCCACUAGCUUUGUGACUUAGGGCAAGGUAUUAAGCAAGGCCACUGUGUGCACGUUGUCCUGGAUCCUUUGGGAAACCUUGAUGUGCCUAGAAAAUGCUGAUAUGCAGUAAAUGGUAUCUACUGUCAUGAAUUCUAAAUUUUAGAGGUUAGUCACAUACCCUUUGUCAUUCAUUUAGUGGUAUCUUUGUUCACACAAAUUGAAUAAGCAUCUUAUUGUUUAUAUUUGUAGACCCUCAGAAUCUUUUCUUUCCUGAUGAUUGUCCUAUACCUGUUUGAUGCUCAUUCAGAGUAUAUGACAAGUCAAAUUGUGAAACUUGAAAUGUAGAUGGUUAUUUAUUACUGAGCUAGAAUGGGGGUAUUGUAACAGAUUGAUUUGUCACUUUCUUUCUGGUCCUACCUACAGAAAUACUUAAAAUUAUGAAUGGACACUCCAUUACAGCCAACAGUCAAACAUUGCCUUCAUGUUAAGGAACUUUUAGUUGAUUUAAAGACUAGUUUUAGACCAAAUUGGGGUGGCUGGGUAGCUUAGUUUAGCGUCCGGCUUCAGCCCAGGUCAGGCAUGAUCUCAAGGCUUGUGAGUUCAAGCCCCACAUCAGGCUCUUUGCGGUCAGCACAGAGCCUGCUUCGGAUCCUCUCUCUCCCUCUGCCCCUUCCCUGCUCAUGAGCUUUCUCUCUCUC